AGAGUUUGAUCCUGGCUCAGGAUGAACGCUGGCGGCGUGCCUAACACAUGCAAGUCGAACGAGCUGCCCUAGAUGAUUUUAGUGCUUGCACUAAAUGAAACUAGAUACAAGCGAGCGGCGGACGGGUGAGUAACACAGUGGGUAACCUGCGCAAGAGACUGGGAUAACACCUGCAAACAGAUGCUAAUACGGGAUAACAACACUAGACGCAUGUCUAGAAGUUUGAAAGACGGUUGUGCUAUCACUGUCGGAUGGACAUAGGGUGCAUCUAGUUAGUUAGUAAGGUAACUGCUUACCAAGGCAAUGAGGCAUAGCGGACCUUGCAGAGACUGAUAGCACUACAUCGGCAGUGAGACACGGCCCAAACUCUUACGAGAGAGCACCAGUACCGAAUUCUCCACAAUGGCAGCAAGUGUGAAGGAGCAACAAUGCGUGAGAUGAAGAAGGGAUUAGGCUCGUAAAGCUGAAGUAAAUAGUGAAGAAAGAUAGAGGUAGUAAGCAGCCAUGUAUAAGACCGUAACUAGUUCGAAAGUCACGGCUAAAUUCGUGCCAGCCACCGCGGUAAAAAGUAGGGGGCAAGCGUUAUUCCGGAUUAUUGGGGGUAAAGCGAGUGCAGGCGGCUCAACAAGUCUGAUGUGAAAGCCUUGGGCUCCAACCGCGAGAAUUGCCAUCAGAAACUGCUGAACUUGAAGGCUAGAAGAGGACAGGUGGAAAUUCCAUGGGGAGCGGGGGAAAGGGUAGAAUAUAUGGAAGAACCCCAGUGGGGAAAGGCGGCUCUCUGGUCUGCAGCUGACGGUGAAGGCUUGAAAGGCAUGGGGAGCGAACAGGAUUAGAUACCCUGGUAGUCCAUGCCGUAAACGAUGAGUGCUAAGUGUUGGGAGGUUUCCGCCCUCUCAGUGCUGCAGCUAAACGCAUUAAGCACUCCGCCUGGGGAGUACGACCGCAAGGGUUGAAACUCAAAGGAAUUUGACGGGGGCCCGCACAAGCGGUGGAGCAUGUGGUUUAAUUCGAAAGCAACGCGAAGAACCUUACCAGGUCUUGACAUCCAGUGCAAACCUAAGAGAUUAGGUGUUCCCAUCGGGGACGCUGAGACAGGAGGUGCAUGGCUGUCGUCAGCUCGUGUCGUGAGAUGUUGGGUUAAGUCCCGCAACGAGCGCAACCCUUGUCAUUAGUUGCCAUCAUUAAGUUGGGCACUCUAAUGAGACUGCCGGUGACAAACCGGAGGAAGGUGGGGAUGACGUCAAGUCAUCAUGCCCCUUAUGACCUGGGCUACACACGUGCUACAAUGGACGGUACAACGAGAAGCGAACCUGCGAAGGCAAGCGGAUCUCUUAAAGCCGUUCUCAGUUCGGACUGUAGGCUGCAACUCGCCUACACGAAGCUGGAAUCGCUAGUAAUCGCGGAUCAGCACGCCGCGGUGAAUACGUUCCCGGGCCUUGUACACACCGCCCGUCA
rnacentral:rRNA from 1 species